rnacentral:lncRNA from 1 species
CAUUUUUACUUUUUUCAGCGUACAAUUCAGUGGUGUUUUUAGUUUAUUCAUAGUAUUGCACAACCGUCACCAUUAUACAAUUCCAAACAUUUUCAUCAGCCAAAAAGAAACCUCACACCCAUCAGGCUAUUUUCCCUCCCGGCAAUAACUAAGCUACUUUCCACACAUUAUAUGAUUCCAUGAAUAUGAAGUAUGCCUAUGCAUGGAGUCAUACGACAGGGUGCAACAGUCCUUUGUGACUGACUUCUUUCCCCUAAUGUAAUGUUUUCAAGGUUCAUGCAUGUAAUAGCAUGCAUCAGUACUUCGUUGCUUUUUGUGGUCGAAUAAUAUUCCAUUGCAUGAAUAUAUUUAAUUUUAAUUUUUGAUACAAUUUUUCUUUGUUCCCUUACUGCAGGUCUCUUUUACACUGGUCAGUUUAGUGAACUCUCUCCAGCUUGGACUGCUGACCUGUGACCUCCCAUUAUUCAAACCAGGCUGACAUAUGUGGGCAUCUGGAGGCCCUCAGCUUCAUUCCCUCACUUCUAAGCAUCACCUCCUGAAAUCAAGAUGCUUCAUGAGUGUGUCAAGGUCAUCACGAUGAGUAUGGAUUAUGGUUCUGGAGAAUUCAACAGAUGGCGAACAGGGUUGGCAAUCAUCUCUUCGGCAAAUAUUUGGUAAUUUGCUGACCCUGUUGUAGAAGGUAAGGGUGUUCAAGUUGGCUAUUUUCUUUUUUAAAAAGUGAAUCGCUUCAUAUCAGUCUGCUUAUCUUUCACUUAUCCUUUUCUUCAUAAUAAUAUCUUAAGGAAUGUACACACACACAUCUAGUUAUCUGAGACUUUGGUUGAUUGGACCAUAGUUAGCCACUGAAUAGGACCAUCGCACAGAGGAUUAUGUCUUAAACAUUCCCCCUGAAUUCUCUGUUGACAAGAUGGGAGAUAUACCAUGGGUCACUUGAUCCUUUUUACUUCAUUUAGAACAUGAAUCUUGAGGCCAAGAGGCAGAAAACAGUCCACUAACACAAUUGGCAACUAGACACAAAACAAUUCAGUGAUGGGUUUAAAAAAAUGACCUCAAUUUUAAAAAAUAAUUUUUAAAACUUCAAUGACCAAUUAGUUACAGCUUAACUUGUUAUGUAUUUUUGAGCAGGGAGUGAAUGGAACACAAAGAAGAGUACGCCGAGAAAUAUGUUCCAUAAGCUAAAUACAGAG